CCUACGGGUGGCAGCAGUGAGGAAUAUUGGUCAAUGGACGAGAGUCUGAACCAGCCAAGUAGCGUGAAGGAUGACUGCCCUAUGGGUUGUAAACUUCUUUUAUAUGGGAAUAAAACGUUCCACGUGUGGGAUUUUGUAUGUACCAUAUGAAUAAGGAUCGGCUAACUCCGUGCCAGCAGCCGCGGUAAUACGGAGGAUCCGAGCGUUAUCCGGAUUUAUUGGGUUUAAAGGGAGCGUAGGUGGAUUGUUAAGUCAGUUGUGAAAGUUUGCGGCUCAACCGUAAAAUUGCAGUUGAAACUGGCAGUCUUGAGUACAGGAGAGGUGGGCGGAAUUCGUGGUGUAGCGGUGAAAUGCUUAGAUAUCACGAAGAACUCCGAUUGCGAAGGCAGUUCACUGGACUGCAACUGACGCUGAGGCUCGAAAGUGUGGGUAUCAAACAGGAUUAGAUACCCUUGUAGUC
rnacentral:rRNA from 1 species